rnacentral:rRNA from 1 species
ACGCUGGCGGCGUGCUUAACACAUGCAAGUCGAACGAAGAACGAUGGAAGCUUGCUUCUAUCAAUCUUAGUGGCGAACGGGUGAGUAACGCGUAAUCAACCUGCCCUUCAGAGGGGGACAACAGUUGGAAACGACUGCUAAUACCGCAUACGAUCUGACCUCGGCAUCGAGGAUAGAUGAAAGGUGGCCUCUAUUUAUAAGCUAUCACUGAAGGAGGGGAUUGCGUCUGAUUAGCUAGUUGGAGGGGUAACGGCCCACCAAGGCGACGAUCAGUAGCCGGUCUGAGAGGAUGAACGGCCACAUUGGGACUGAGACACGGCCCAGACUCCUACGGGAGGCAGCAGUGGGGAAUCUUCCGCAAUGGACGAAAGUCUGACGGAGCAACGCCGCGUGAGUGAUGACGGCCUUCGGGUUGUAAAGCUCUGUUAAUCGGGACGAAAGGCCUUCUUGCGAAUAGUUAGAAGGAUUGACGGUACCGGAAUAGAAAGCCACGGCUAACUACGUGCCAGCAGCCGCGGUAAUACGUAGGUGGCAAGCGUUGUCCGGAAUUAUUGGGCGUAAAGCGCGCGCAGGCGGAUUGGUCAGUCUGUCUUAAAAGUUCGGGGCUUAACCCCGUGAUGGGAUGGAAACUGCCAAUCUAGAGUAUCGGAGAGGAAAGUGGAAUUCCUAGUGUAGCGGUGAAAUGCGUAGAUAUUAGGAAGAACACCAGUGGCGAAGGCGACUUUCUGGACGAAAACUGACGCUGAGGCGCGAAAGCCAGGGGAGCGAACGGGAUUAGAUGCCCCGGUAGUCCUGGCCGUAAACGAUGGGUACUAGGUGUAGGAGGUAUCGACCCCUUCUGUGCCGGAGUUAACGCAAUAAGUACCCCGCCUGGGGAGUACGACCGCAAGGUUGAAACUCAAAGGAAUUG